GACGAACCGUGCGAACGUUGUUCGGAAUCACUGGGCGUAAAGCGCACGUAGGCGGCUUCUUAAGUCAGGGGUGAAAUCCUGGAGCUCAACUCCAGAACUGCCUUUGAUACUGAGAGGCUUGAGUCCGGGAGAGGUGAGUGGAACUGCGAGUGUAGAGGUGAAAUUCGUAGAUAUUCGCAAGAACACCAGUGGCGAAGGCGGCUCACUGGCCCGGUACUGACGCUGAGGUGCGAAAGCGUGGGGAGCAAACAGG
rnacentral:rRNA from 1 species